GAGUUUGAUCCUGGCUCAGAUUGAACGCUGGCGGCAUGCCUUACACAUGCAAGUCGAACGGCAGCACGGGAGCAAUCCUGGUGGCGAGUGGCGAACGGGUGAGUAAUAUAUCGGAACGUGCCCAGUCGUGGGGGAUAACGCAGCGAAAGCUGUGCUAAUACCGCAUACGAUCUCUGGAUGAAAGCGGGGGACUCGCAAGAGCCUCGCGCGAUUGGAGCGGCCGAUAUCAGAUUAGCUAGUUGGUGGGGUAAAGGCUCACCAAGGCGACGAUCUGUAGCUGGUCUGAGAGGACGACCAGCCACACUGGAACUGAGACACGGUCCAGACUCCUACGGGAGGCAGCAGUGAGGAAUAUUGGACAAUGGGCGCAAGCCUGAUCCAGCCAUGCCGCGUGCAGGAUGACGGUCCUAUGGAUUGUAAACUGCUUUUGUACAGGAAGAAACCCUUUCACGUGUGGAAGAUUGACGGUACUGUAAGAAUAAGGAUCGGCUAACUCCGUGCCAGCAGCCGCGGUAAUAC
rnacentral:rRNA from 1 species